CAAGAACUGAAGGAGCUCAGGGACAGUGGUAUAUUGACCCUUACAACAGACAGAAGAAAAUAAAUGAAACAUCAUUAUUAUUGGUAUGGAAAACAAUAGUCCUUGUAAAUCUCAGGAAGUUCUGUCUCAAGAAAGGCAAAGAGUGACGAAUGCAAACAACACUCCUAAAACAUGGGCCCUGCUAAUCCACUUGAAGAACUUCAAAUAAUACAUCUUGUUUCUCUCUGCUUGGGUUUUCUGGAUUUUAGAAAAGAAUGUCAGCUAUCCUAAUGUAAGAGCUGCUCAGGAAAGGAUCA